rnacentral:rRNA from 1 species
UGGGGAAUUUUGGACAAUGGGCGAAAGCCUGAUCCAGCAAUGCCGCGUGUGUGAAGAAGGCCUUCGGGUUGUAAAGCACUUUUGUCCGGAAAGAAAUCCUUGGCUCUAAUACAGUCGGGGGAUGACGGUACCGGAAGAAUAAGCACCGGCUAACUACGUGCCAGCAGCCGCGGUAAUACGUAGGGUGCAAGCGUUAAUCGGAAUUACUGGGCGUAAAGCGUGCGCAGGCGGUUUGCUAAGACCGAUGUGAAAUCCCCGGGCUCAACCUGGGAACUGCAUUGGUGACUGGCAGGCUAGAGUAUGGCAGAGGGGGGUAGAAUUCCACGUGUAGCAGUGAAAUGCGUAGAGAUGUGGAGGAAUACCGAUGGCGAAGGCAGCCCCCUGGGCCAAUACUGACGCUCAUGCACGAAAGCGUGGGGAGCAAAACAGGAUUAGAUACCCUGGUAGUCCACGCCCUAAAACGAUGUCAACUAGUUGUUGGGGAUUCAUUUCCUUAGUAACGUAGCUAACGCGUGAAGUUGACCGCCUGGGGAGUACGGUCGCAAGAUUAAAACUCAAAGGAAUUGACGGGGUCAUAGCUGUUACCU